UAUCCGGAUUUAUUGGGUUUAAAGGGUGCGUAGGCGGUUUGAUAAGUUAGAGGUGAAAUUUCGGGGCUCAACCCUGAACGUGCCUCUAAUACUGUUUGACUAGAGAGUAGUUGCGGUAGGCGGAAUGUAUGGUGUAGCGGUGAAAUGCUUAGAGAUCAUACAGAACACCGAUUGCGAAGGCAGCUUACCAAACUAUAUCUGACGUUGAGGCACGAAAGCGUGGGGAGCAAACAGGAUUAGAUACCCUGGUAGUCCACGCAGUAAACGAUGAUAACUCGCUGUCGGCGAUACACAGUCGGUGGCUAAGCGAAAGCGAUAAGUUAUCCACCUGGGGAGUACGUUCGCAAGAAUGAAACUCAAAGGAAUUGACGGGGGCCCGCACAAGCGGAGGAACAUGUGGUUUAAUUCGAUGAUACGCGAGGAACCUUACCCGGGCUUGAAAGUUAGCGACGAUUCUUGAAAGAGGAUUUCCCUUCGGGGCGCGAAACUAGGUGCUGCAUGGUUGUCGUCAGCUCGUGCCGUGAGGUGUCGGGUUAAGUCCCAUAACGAGCGCAACCCCUACCGUUAGUUGCCAUCAGGUGAAGCUGGGCACUCUGGCGGGACUGCCGGUGUAAGCCGAGAGGAAGGUGGGGAUGACGUCAAAUCAGCACGGCCCUUACG
rnacentral:rRNA from 1 species